AUUGAACGCUGGCGGCAUGCUUUACACAUGCAAGUCGAACGGUAACAGGCCGCAAGGUGCUGACGAGUGGCGAACGGGUGAGUAAUGCAUCGGAACGUGCCCAGUCGUGGGGGAUAACGCAGCGAAAGCUGUGCUAAUACCGCAUACGAUCUGUGGAUGAAAGCGGGGGACCUUCGGGCCUCGCGCGAUUGGAGCGGCCGAUGUCAGAUUAGGGAGUUGGUGGGGUAAAGGCUCACCAAGCCGGCGACCUGUAGCUGGUCUGAGAGGACGACCAGCCACACGAGGACUGAGACACGGCCCAGACUCCUACGGGGGGCAGCAGUGGGGAAGUUUGGACAAUGGGCGCAAGCCUGAUCCAGCAAUGCCGCGUGCAGGAAGAAGGCCUUCGGGUUGUAAACUGCUUUUGUACGGAGCGAAAAGGCUCCCUCUAAUACAGGGGGCUCAUGACGGUACCGUAAGAAUAAGCACCGGCUAACUACGUGCCAGCCGCCGCAGUAAGAC
rnacentral:rRNA from 1 species